CCAUACGACCGUACCGCAAACCGACACUGGUGCGCGAGAUGAGUAUUCUAAGGCGCUUGAGAGAACUCAGGAGAAGGAACUCGGCAAAUUGACACCGUAACUUCGGAAGAAGGUGUGCCCUAUUAGUGUGUAGUGAACAACGAAGCAUGAAUGGGUUGCAAAAAAUCGGUGGCUGCGACUGUUUAUUAAAAACACAGCACUCUGCAGACACGAAAGCGGACGUAUAGGGUGUGACGCCUGCCCGGUGCUGGAAGAUUAAAUGAUGGGGUGCAAGCUCUUGAUUGAAGUCCCAGUAAACGGCGGCCGUAACAAUAACGGUCCUAAGGUAGCGAAAUUCCUUGUCGGGUAAGUUCCGACCUGCACGAAUGGCGUAACGAUGGCCACACUGUCUCCUCCUGAGACUCAGCGAAGUUGAAAUGUUUGUGAUGAUGCAAUCUCCCCGCGGAAAGACGGAAAGACCCCAUGAACCUUUACUGUAGCUUUGUAUUGGACUUUGAACAGAUCUGUGUAGGAUAGGUGGGAGGCUUUGAAGCAGGGUCGCUAGAUCUUGUGGAGCCAACGUUGAAAUACCACCCUGGUGUGUUUGAGGUUCUAACCUAGGUCCAUUAUCUGGAUCGGGGACAGUGCAUGGUAGGCAGUUUGACUGGGGCGGUCUCCUCCCAAAGCGUAACGGAGGAGUUCGAAGGUACGCUAGUUACGGUCGGACAUCGUGACGAUAGUGCAAUGGCAUAAGCGUGCUUAACUGCGAGACUGACAAGUCGAGCAGAUGCGAAAGCAGGACAUAGUGAUCCGGUGGUUCUGUAUGGAAGGGCCAUCGCUCAACGGAUAAAAGGUACUCUGGGGAUAACAGGCUGAUACUGCCCAAGAGUUCAUAUCGACGGCGGUGUUUGGCACCUCGAUGUCGGCUCAUCUCAUCCUGGGGCUGUAGCCGGUCCCAAGGGUAUGGCUGUUCGCCAUUUAAAGAGGUACGUGAGCUGGGUUUAAAACGUCGUGAGACAGUUUGGUCCCUAUCUUCCGUGGGCGCUGCAGAUUUGAGGAAGCCUGCUCCUAGUACGAGAGGACCGGAGUGGACACACCUCUGGUGUAUCGGUUGUCACGCCAGUGGCAUUGCCGAGUAGCUAAGUGUGGAAGAGAUAACCGCUGAAAGCAUCUAAGCGGGAAACUCGUUUCAAGAUGAGAUCUGCCGGGGCCUCGAGCCCCCUAAAGAGUCGUUCAAGACCAGGACGUUGAUAGGUCAGGUGUGGAAGCUA
rnacentral:rRNA from 1 species